GAUGAAGAACGUAGUGAAAUGCGAUAAGUAGUGUGAAUUGCAGAAUUCAGUGAAUCAUCGAAUCUUUGAACGCACAUUGCGCCCUUUGGUAUUCCUUAGGGCAUGCCUGUUCGAGCGUCAUUUAAACCUUCAAGCUCAGCUUGGUGUUGGGUGACUGUCCGCCGCCUCCGGGCGCGUGGACUCGCCUCAAAAUUAUUGGCGGCCGGUACAUUGGCUUCGAGCGCAGCAGAAACGCGAACUCGGGCCCGUCGUAUUGGCUCCCAGAAGCUAUCUUCACAAUUUUGACCUCGGAUCAGGUAGGGAUACCCGCUGAACUUAAGCAUAUCAAUAAGCGAGG
rnacentral:misc_RNA from 1 species